rnacentral:rRNA from 1 species
GUGAGGAAUUUUCCGCAAUGGGCGAAAGCCUGACGGAGCAAUGCCGCGUGAAGGAUGAAGGCCUAUGGGUUGUAAACUUCUUUUCUCAGAAAAGAAUUAUGACGGUAUCUGAGGAAUAAGCAUCGGCUAACUCUGUGCCAGCAGCCGCGGUAAGACAGAGGAUGCAAGCGUUAUCCGGAAUGAUUGGGCGUAAAGCGUCUGUAGGUUGUUUAAAAAGUAUUCUGUCAAAGAUUAGGGCUUAACCCUAGAUAGGCAGAAUAAACUUUUAAGCUAGAGUUUGGUAGAGGCAGAAGGAAUUCCCGGUGGAGCGGUGAAAUGCGUAGAUAUCGGGAGGAACACCAAAGGCGAAGGCACUCUGCUGGGCCAAUACUAACACUGAGAGACGAAAGCGAGGGGAGCAAAUGGGAUUAGAAACCCGGGUAGUCC